rnacentral:rRNA from 1 species
UACGAAGGGGGCUAGCGUUGCUCGGAAUCACUGGGCGUAAAGCGCACGUAGGCGGAUUGUUAAGUCAGGGGUGAAAGUCCUGGAGCUCAACUCCAGAACUGCCUUUGAUACUGGCGAUCUUGAGUCCGGGAGAGGUGAGUGGAACUGCGAGUGUAGAGGUGAAAUUCGUAGAUAUUCGCAAGAACACCAGUGGCGAAGGCGGCUCGACUGGCC